ensembl:processed_transcript
GUGUGGCACUGUUGUUAUUCAGCAGACUUUGUUUUCUUGGAGGCUCUUCUCUCCUCAUGAUCAUCAAACCAGUUACAAAGAUGGCCUGAUGCACACCAUCACUGUUUUCCUUCACCGCGGACCAAGCCAUGAAUUAAGAACAUGUUGGAUUGUUUCUCUCAUAAUAGUUGACCUACUGAAUACACUCAUUACAUCCAUCUCAAUAUUUUAUGGGCUAUGGUGGUUUCAAGAACGCUGGUUAAUUAUAGUAAUGGCAGUUUAUGUGAUAUUGGAGUUCAUCCUUUACCUCGGAGCAGUUAUUUCUAAACGGGUGGAAAAAUACAG